rnacentral:rRNA from 1 species
UACAGAGGUCCCAAGCGUUGUUCGGAUUCACUGGGCGUAAAGGGCGCGUAGGCGGUUGGGGAAGUCCGUGGUGAAAGCUCGUGGCUCAACUACGAGUCGGCCAUGGAUACUCCUUGACUUGAGCACUGUAGAGGCAGAUGGAAUUCCGGGUGUAGCGGUGGAAUGCGUAGAGAUCCGGAAGAACACCGGUGGCGAAGGCGGUCUGCUGGGCAGUAGCUGACGCUGAGGCGCGACAGCGUGGGGGAGCAAACAGG